GACGAACGCUGGCGGCGCGCUUAACACAUGCAAGUCGAACGAGAACCAUUCCUUCGGGAAUGGGGAAAGUGGCGAACGGGUGAGUAACACGUGGGUAAUCCACCCUCGGCACCGGAAUAGCCCGGGGAAACUCGGAUUAAUGCCGGAUAGCCUCACGGGCUCUAUGGCCUGUGAGAAAAGGUAGCUUAGGCCUCUGGCCGAGGACGAGCCUGCGGCGGAUUAGCUAGUUGGCGGGGUAAUGGCCCACCAAGGCGACGAUCCUUAGCUGGUCGGGGAGGACGAUCAGCAACCCGGGGACUGAGACACGGCCCAGACUCCUACGGGAGGCAGCAGUGGGGAAGCUUGCGCAAUGGGCGAAAGCCUGACGAAGCGACGCCGCGUGUGGGAAGAAGGCCUUCGGGUUGUAAACCACUUUCAGGAGGGACGAAGCCACUCGGGUGAACAGCCCAGAGGGUGACGGUACCUUCAGAAGAAGCCCCGGCUAACUACGUGCCAGCAGCCGCCGUAA
rnacentral:rRNA from 1 species